rnacentral:rRNA from 1 species
GACGAACGCUGGCGGCGUGCUUAACACAUGCAAGUCGAACGGAAAGGCCCUGCUUUUGUGGGGUGCUCGAGUGGCGAACGGGUGAGUAACACGUGAGUAACCUGCCCUUGACUUUGGGAUAACUUCAGGAAACUGGGGCUAAUACCGGAUAGGAGCUCCUGCUGCAUGGUGGGGGUUGGAAAGUUUCGGCGGUUGGGGAUGGACUCGCGGCUUAUCAGCUUGUUGGUGGGGUAGUGGCUUACCAAGGCUUUGACGGGUAGCCGGCCUGAGAGGGUGACCGGCCACAUUGGGACUGAGAUACGGCCCAGACUCCUACGGGAGGCAGCAGUGGGGAAUAUUGCACAAUGGGCGGAAGCCUGAUGCAGCAACGCCGCGUGCGGGAUGACGGCCUUCGGGUUGUAAACCGCUUUCGCCUGUGACGAAGCGUGAGUGACGGUAAUGGGUAAAGAAGCACCGGCUAACUACGUGCCAGCAGCCGCGGUGAUACGUAGGGUGCGAGCGUUGUCCGGAUUUAUUGGGCGUAAAGGGCUCGUAGGUGGUUGAUCGCGUCGGAAGUGUAAUCUUGGGGCUUAACCCUGAGCGUGCUUUCGAUACGGGUUGACUUGAGGAAGGUAGGGGAGAAUGGAAUUCCUGGUGGAGCGGUGGAAUGCGCAGAUAUCAGGAGGAACACCAGUGGCGAAGGCGGUUCUCUGGGCCUUUCCUGACGCUGAGGAGCGAAAGCGUGGGGAGCGAACAGGCUUAGAUACCCUGGUAGUCCACGCUGUAAACGGUGGGUACUAGGUGUGGGGUCCAUUCCACGGGUUCCGUGCCGUAGCUAACGCUUUAAAUACCCCGCCUGGGGAGUACGGCCGCAAGGCUAAAACUCAAAGGAAUUGACGGGGCCCCGCACAAGCGGCGGAGCAUGCGGAUUAAUUCGAUGCAACGCGUAGAACCUUACCUGGGUUUGACAUGGAUCGGGAGUGCUCAGAGAUGGGUGUGCCUCUUUUGGGGUCGGUUCACAGGUGGUGCAUGCCUGUCGUCAGCUCGUGUCGUGAGAUGUUGGGUUAAGUCCCGCAACGAGCGCAACCCUUGUUCACUGUUGCCAGCACGUUAUGGUGGGGACUCAAUGGAGACCGCCGGGGUCAACUCGGAGGAAGGUGGGGAUGACGUCAAGUCAUCAUGCCCCUUAUGUCCAGGGCUUCACGCAUGCUACAAUGGCUGGUACAGAGAGUGGCGAGCCUGUGAGGGUGAGCGAAUCUCGGAAAGCCGGUCUCAGUUCGGAUUGGGGUCUGCAACUCGACCUCAUGAAGUCGGAGUCGCUAGUAAUCGCAGAUCAGCAACGCUGCGGUGAAUACGUUCCCGGGGCU